GUGCUCGCUUCAGCAGCACAUAUACAAAAUUGGAACGAUACAAAGAAGAUUAGUAUGGCCCCUGCGCAAGGAUGACAUGCAAGUUCAUGAAGAAUUCCAUAUUUUU
rnacentral:snRNA from 1 species